GGGGGUGUAUUGGUUUCGACUGGCGGAGUUCAGCCCACCGGUUGCAGGCCAAGCGCCAACUUGUAAAACUAGCAAAAAAAAUUAACUGCAAAGAAAGAAGACGAUUUCGUCCUCGACGAAGCAGAAUUCGCUCUCGCUGCUUAAUCGUAGCCAGAACGGACAAGGUGACGGAUGCCGUGCCCAUGACCCUGAACCCUGUAAAUCCCUUGGGCUUGCCUUUGGUUGAUGAUUGUAGACCAUAGGGACACUUUCAAUCUGGAUUGGAUGAGAACUGACCGACUGUCGAUUCCAGUUAAGACUUUUCAGCCGGAUCUAAGCCUGUAGAUGCCUGUGGAUGGGCCGUUAGGACGGGGGUUCGACUCCCCCCACCUCCA
rnacentral:tmRNA from 1 species